rnacentral:tRNA from 1 species
GCCGAAGUGGUGGAAUUGGCAUACGCGCUGCGUUCAGGGCGCAGUGGGGUUUAUCCCCAUGGGGGUUCGACUCCCCCCUUCGGCAC